rnacentral:rRNA from 1 species
GACGAACGCUGGCGGCGUGCCUAAUACAUGCAAGUUGAGCGCUGAAGGUUGGUACUUGUACCAACUGGAUGAGCAGCGAACGGGUGAGUAACGCGUGGGGAAUCUGCCUUUGAGCGGGGGACAACAUUUGGAAACGAAUGCUAAUACCGCAUAAAAACUUUAAACACAAGUUUUAAGUUUGAAAGAUGCAAUUGCAUCACUCAAAGAUGAUCCCGCGUUGUAUUAGCUAGUUGGUGAGGUAAAGGCUCACCAAGGCGAUGAUACAUAGCCGACCUGAGAGGGUGAUCGGCCACAUUGGGACUGAGACACGGCCCAAACUCCUACGGGAGGCAGCAGUAGGGAAUCUUCGGCAAUAGACGAAAGUCUGACCGAGCAACGCCGCGUGAGUGGAGAAGGUUUUCGGAUCGUAAAACUCUGUUGGUAGAGAAGAACGUUGGUGAGAGUGGAAAGCUCAUCAAGUGACGGUAACUACCCAGAAAGGGACGGCUAACUACGUG